rnacentral:tRNA from 1 species
GCAUGCCGGUGAGCUGGUGGAGCUCUUGUUCGCUCUCGACGUGCAGGCGGUCCACUCCGGCGCACAGUGCCUGUUCGAGUUCGGCCGGCGUCUU